rnacentral:rRNA from 1 species
GAGCGGAUGACGGGAGCUUGCUCCUUGAUUCAGCGGCGGACGGGUGAGUAAUGCCUAGGAAUCUGCCUGGUAGUGGGGGACAACGUUUCGAAAGGAACGCUAAUACCGCAUACGUCCUACGGGAGAAAGCAGGGGACCUUCGGGCCUUGCGCUAUCAGAUGAGCCUAGGUCGGAUUAGCUAGUUGGUGGGGUAAUGGCUCACCAAGGCGACGAUCCGUAACUGGUCUGAGAGGAUGAUCAGUCACACUGGAACUGAGACACGGUCCAGACUCCUACGGGAGGCAGCAGUGGGGAAUAUUGGACAAUGGGCGAAAGCCUGAUCCAGCCAUGCCGCGUGUGUGAAGAAGGUCUUCGGAUUGUAAAGCACUUUAAGUUGGGAGGAAGGGCAGUAAGUUAAUACCUUGCUGUUUUGACGUUUUCCGACAGAAUAAGCACCGGCUAACUCUGUG